rnacentral:lncRNA from 1 species
AUGGAAGGCAGUGGCCAGGGGAGGGGCUGCUCGUGGCUUCUUUCUGGGCUCUUAGCCCUGGGGUUCUUGUGCAUGCAUUUUAGCUGGGUGGAACCUUUGGAUUGUGCUGCCCGGAUUCUGCCUUCCCGUGUGAAUGAGAUCUUUGUUGCCAGGCAACAUGGCUUUACUCUCACAUCCAAAAGUGCCCAGUUCCUACACAGCUACUGGCUUCUCUACUUCGAGGCAGCUCCCUUCGUGGGGAUUUCCUUGGUACAGCUGUGGGCCUGGGUACCCAACGCCCCGCAUGCUACUGAGCUUAUUCUGGAGUUCAAGGAUCAUCGGAGGGGCCCCUCCAAAUUCCUCCUGGGCUCUUUCCCCGUUAUCUUCUCAUCUUAUCACUCAGAGACUGGAUCUUUACUGGAGAUCUACUGUUUACUAACAUAUUGGAUGGAGGUGGUGCCUACCCUCUUGACAGAAGAAAAGAUUCCAUCCACUGAUGUGGCCGAUGUCCGCCUGAAUGAGUGUUCCAGCACCCAAGGCAAGCGAGAUAUGGUGCUGCUGUUCAUAUCUUCAGCCUUCAGCCAGCCGCCUCUGUUUCACCUGCCUUACGUCCAGGAGCCCUUCAUCGCUAACGUGGAACAGCUGAUCCUGGGAACGCCGGGCCAGAAUCCCUGGGACGUAGACCCGGGCCAGACUCCACUUCCAGCAGAGAAGCUCUGUCACCUGGUGGAUCGCAAGGUGAACCUUCACAGAGCUACCUGGGGCGAGUGUAUUGUCGCCCCCAAGACUUUCAGCUCCCCUCACUGUCAGGGAACCUGCCUGGCCCUGAACAGUGAGUUCCAUCAGCCCAACCUUGAGUGCCACAAGAGGGAUGCACCCACCUGUCCCCAGCUCUUCCGGGCCUGUGUUCCCACCAAGGUCAGGCUCCUCUCCUUGAUGGUCCAGGAUGACGAACACAAGAUGAGUGUGCACCAUGUGAACACAUCCCUGAUAGAAAAGUGUGGUUGCUCUUGA